ACGAGUGGCGGACGGGUGAGUAACACGUGGGUAACCUGCCCUUAACUGGGGGAUAACAUUUGAAAACAGAUGCUAAUACCGCAUAGAUCCAAGAACCGCAUGGUUCUUGGCUGAAAGAUGGCGUAUGCUAUCGCUUUUGCAUGGACCCUCGGCGCAUUAUCUACUUGGCGAGGUAAUGGCUCACCAAGGCGAUGAUACGUAGCCGAACUGAUAGGUUGAUCGGCCACCUUGCCACUGAGACACGGCCCAAACUCCUACUGGAGGCAUCAGUAAGGAAUCUUCCACAAUGGACGCAAGUCUGAUGCAGCAACGCCGCGUGACUGAAGAAUGCUUUCGGGUCCUAAAACUCUGUUGGUGGAGAAUAAUCGGUCGGCCCACUAACUGUUGUCCGCGUGACCGUAUCCAACCAGAAAACCACGGCUAACUACGUGCCACCUCCCGCGGCAAUACAUAAGUGGCCAUCGUUAUCCGCAUUUAUUGGGCGUAAAGAGAGCGCAUGAGGUUUUUUCAUUCUGAUGUGAAAGCCCUCGGCUUAACCUAGGAAGCGCAUCGGAGACUGGAAAACUUGACUGCACAAGAGGACAGUGGAACUCCAUGUGUAGGGGGGAAAUGCGUAGAUAUAUGGAAGGAACACCAGUGGCGAAGGCGGCGUUUUGGGUCUGUACUUGCCGGUGAGGCUCGAAAGCAUGGGUAGCGAACAGGAUUUAGAUACCCGGGUAAGUCCAUUCCGUAAACGAUGAAUGCUAGGUGUUGGAGGGUUUUCGCCUUUCAGGUGCCGCAGCUAACGCAUUAAGCAUUCCGCCUGGGGGAGUACGACCGCAAGGUUGAAACUCAAAGGAAUUGACGGGGGCCCGCACAAGCGGUGGAGCAUGUGGUUUAAUUUGAAGCAACGCGAAGAACCUUACCAGGUCUUGACAUCUUUUGAUCACCUGAGAGAUCAGGUUUCCCCUUCGGGGGCAAAAUGACAGGUGGUGCAUGGUUGUCGUCAGUUCGUGUCGUGAGAUGUUGGGUUAAGUCCCGCAACGAGCGCAAUCCUUAUGACUAGUUGCCAGCAUUUAGUUGGGCACUCUAGUAAGACUGUCGGUGACAAACCGGAGGAAGGUGGGGAUGAGGUCAAAUUAUCAUUCCCCUUAUGACCUGGGCUACACACGUGUUACAAUGGAUGGUACAACGAGUUGAGAGACCGCGAGGUCAAGCUAAUCUCUUAAAGCCAUUCUCAUUUCGGACUGUAGGCUGCAACUAGCUUACAUGAAGUCGGAAUCGCUAGUAAUCGCGGAUCAGCUCGCCGCGGUGAAUACGUUCCCGGGCCUUGUACACACCGCCCGUCACUCCAUGAGAGUUUGUAACACCCGAAGCCGGUGGGGUAACCCUUUUAGGGA
rnacentral:rRNA from 1 species